AACCACACUUGACUUCAACAGAGCCUGUAAAGCUGCGGGAGCUUAGGGUUUAUAAAGAGAGACCACAUGUCUUUAAGAAACUUGCCAAGACCGUGUAGGAGGAAAAACCCCAACUCACGGAUGACAACACUUGUCUCUUGGAUCCUAUCUUAUCAUUGUUUAAUUUCCUCGAGGAGCCAGAAAGGUCCCAGAAUAAAAUGACACUCAUCUCACCCCACAGCGGACUCUCACUUCCCCUUCAGAGCUGAGACCAAGUUGAAGGCUCAGGGCAGAGAUUGCCUCCUUCUGUGAGCCUGACACAAGGACCAUCCCAAGAGCCGUCCCUCACUGGCCUGCACCUCAGUCCUGGAGCCCAUUUCCUCUCCGUGAUGUCAACCGGUCCUCGUGGCACCCGGGAGGAGGAGGACAGAGGUUCUCAUCCCCACUCUCAGAGCACAGCUGGGCUUUGGCUGAGCGGUACUUACACACGGUUUCAUGACUCCAAACCCAGUGCUCUCUUUGCGCUCACUGUGUUUCCCAACCUUCUGUCAUACAAGGCCUCCCUCUGACUUUUGCCCUAUCCCCAGACCACCUGUACCACUGUUAAUGCAUUGUUCAAGGUGGGUGGCCCAUUAUUUUUUCCCUCAGUUAAAUGGCUUUGUUUAAAAAUGAAAUUUGCUAUCAUUGCCC
rnacentral:lncRNA from 1 species